UACGUAGGUCCCGAGCGUUGUCCGGAUUUAUUGGGCGUAAAGCGAGCGCAGGUGGUUUAUUAAGUCUGGUGUAAAAGGCAGUGGCUCAACCAUUGUGUGCAUUGGAAACUGGUAGACUUGAGUGCAGGAGAGGAGAGUGGAAUUCCAUGUGUAGCAGUGAAAUGCGUAGAUAUAUGGAGGAACACCGGUGGCGAAAGCGGCUCUCUGGCCUGUAACUGACACUGAGGCUCGAAAGCGUGGGGAGCAAACAGG
rnacentral:rRNA from 1 species